AUACUCCAUGUACUCCACAACCUUGUUUGAACAGUGGAACCUGCUCAAUUGUUGGAUCCAGUUAUACAUGUACCUGCCCAACAGGGUAUUCAGGUGCAACAUGUCAGAAUGACCCCUGUCACAGUCUACCAUGCAAAAAUAGCGGAAGUUGUACUGUUUCUGGGUCAGUGUAUACGUGUUCAUGUACUACAGGGUUUCAAGGAACUCUAUGCGAAGAUCCUGUGGCUGUGUAAAAAGAAUGGACAUCAACAGUUGUGAUUUGAAAACGAGAACGAGGAAUACAUGCUUUGUUUGGUGUAUACAAUAUGAACUAUUAUCUUCUAUGUUGGUCUAGUGGAAAUUAUAUUCAAUUUUAAAUGACGCCUGUUUCGGAAUCCUAUCUGUGAAUAUGAAUUUAUAUUUUAAUUUGUAUAAUUCAUAAAAGAAAUAUUGUUAACCGUUAUAUUAAAACCUUAUAAUACUUUGGAAGACAUAAAAAUUAAGUUCACAUUGUUGCAGUUUUUGA